CACAUUUUUCUUCUUCACAUUUACUUUAUACCACCUGCCGACCUGCGUUUAGCUUCCUAGCAAAAACAAAGAGAUUUCUUGUCAGAAUAUUUGCCUGUGAAAGUGUGAAAUCCGAUCUUAGUUCAACAAAAAAUCACACUAGACAAAUCCAUAACACCAACAAAACAAGGAGGGAGGAUUGAAUCGGUAGAUCCAUAUAAGAAAAUCGAGACGAGCCCAGAUAACAAGCAAAACGUACUGCAAAAAGAAAAAGGAAAAACAAAGAAGAGAAAAACAGACACAUGCUCGUUCAUUGACAUUCACUUCUUCAAGAGUAGUGAGUAUUGUCUGACACUUGAGUAAGUCUCCACAACAUGGAUUUUCUCUCUUACGUCUUCAAAUCUCUGUAAAUUAAAAUGUAUUAGUUUUCAGGUUCAAUGUUAAAAAGUAUAAACAACUUGAGCUUGCCUAUGAAACAUCAUUUUUUCCAACACACCCACAUAUUAUGUACUAAUGCACCAUCAUAAAUAUAGAACUGUAAUUCUUGAGAAUUAAAUGUAUACUCUCAAGACCUUCAUCAUUAAAUAAGGAGUACGACAGUUGAUUCCUAUUAGGUUACUUGCUCAUAUGUUUUGUUUGGUUUUUUGACAUCUUAUGAUCUCCAUCAUUUUUUUACUUUCUAAUUUUGUGUUUUUUCUC